CUAGCACUAUCCAUGCCACCACGGGUUGCGUUUGACGUCCCGGCGGUUGGGAUGCUGGCGGUCAUGUGACCAACGCCGGAAUCCCGACACCCCUCAAGGCGCCGGGACGCCAACACCCUGAAGAUCCAUCACUGGCCGUGCUCCCAAUGCUAAUGUUCUGAAAUUGGGGCGGAGCAUGAGAACAUAUCACAAAUGAGUCAGUGUCUAGUACACAGAGCCUUACCUGCAAGUACCACCAACACCACAGAAACUAACCCACCAUUACUGAAGUAUUAAAGAGAAGGAGAAUGUGCAGCAGAAUAAGCGCUAAAGGGCUGUUUAUGAUCUGAAGACUCGGACUUCGAAAAAACCAAGUGUGCAGAAGACGGGAUCAGUGGAGUGGAGCUGAUGCCCUCAGCAGAAAAACACCUGUAGAAGAAGCAAUGAGGAAGAAAGGCAGGUGAGGGGUGAGAGAAGAUUUGGAGCAUACAGAACGCAUUGGCUGUGUGACAGUAAUUGCCUGCAGAACAAUUCUCCAGCAAGAUGCAUGCCCUUCUCACCUCUCACAAAUGAAAAAAAAAAGAAUGAAUAAGAAAAUAAUGGUCCCAGAAUGCUAUUAUGCGAAAAAAUGAAUAGAUGUGU